CCCGAGGGUUUUCCGAAUUUACUGGGCGUAAGCGCGUGCAGGCGGUUUGGUAAGUUGGAUGUGAAAGCUCCCGGCUCAACUGGGAGAGGCCGUUCAAAACUACCAGACUCGAGGACGGUAGAGGGAGGUAGAAUUCCCGGUGUAGUAGUGAAAUGCGUAGAUAUCGGGAGGAAUACCAGUGGCGAAGGCGGCCUCCUGGACCGUUCCUGACGCUCAGACGCGAAAGCUAGGGGAGCGAACGGGAUUAGAAACCCCGGUAGUCCUAGCUGUAAACGAUGCAAACUUGGCGUUGGUGGGGUAAAAUCCGCCGGUGCCGAAGCUAACGCGUUAAGUUUGCCGCCUGGGGACUACGGCCGCAAGGUUAAAACUCAAAGGAAUUGACGGGGCCCCGCACAAGCAGCGGAGCGUGUGGUUUAAUUCGUUGCUACGCGAAAAACCUUACCCGGGUUUGACAUAUAGGUGGUAGGGAUCCGAGAGGUGACCGACCCUUCGGGGAGCCUAUACAGGUGCUGCAUGGCUGUCGUCAGCUCGUGCCGUGAGGUGUCCGGUUAAGUCCGGUAACGAGCGCAACCCUCGCUGUAUGUUACAAGUGUCAUACAGGACUGCCGGUAUCAAGCCGGAGGAAGGCGGGGAUGACGUCAAGUCAGCAUGGCCUUUAUAUCCGGGGCUACACACACGCUACAAUGGCCGGUACAAUGGGUCGCAAAGCCGCGAGGUAGAGCCAAUCCCCAAAACCGGUCUCAGUUCAGACUGCAGGCUGCAACCCGCCUGCACGAAGCCGGAGUUGCUAGUAAACGCGCGUCAGCAUUAGUGCGUUGAAUACGUUCCCGGGGCUUGUACACACCGCCCGUCACGUCAUGGGAGCUGGUAACACCUGAAGCCGGUAUCCUAACCCGUAAGGGAGGGAGCUGUCGAAGGUGGGACUGGUGACUGGGACGAAGUCGUAACAAGGUAACC
rnacentral:rRNA from 1 species